UUCUGUAGUUCUCUUUUAAAAGUGAAUCAAGCAAAUAUAAGCUUGAAAAAGAAUUUACUUCUCUCCAAAGGGCUAUAGAUUCUUAUUAACAGUUACUAGACUUGUUGUUAAGGAGGGUUGUUUACUGUUUAGUUCUCAUUAUUCUCCUAACUAUUUGUGGGUUUGAACUCAACCAUUUGCUCAUGUCCCACCUUCUUAAUGCAUUGGAGGAAAUUAGCACUUUUUGAGUCAGAUGCUUAAAUUUUCCAAUACAUAAUUAUUUUUUACUAUAAUUUCUUGGGUAUGUGCCUAUGGAACCUCACAAUUAUGAUAUAAUAAUAAUCUAUUGCACCAGGUUCCCUAGACUCAGCUGGUCUUGUCAAUCAUCCACAAACUUGAGUAUCCUGAAAACAGUUUCAUCUGUUGUAAACAAGCUAAAAUAAUCUGUUACCAAUGUCAGCCCUAAUGGAUCCAAAUCUAGAGAUCUUAAUAAGGUGUAUUCGAUUUCAAACCCUACUUCAUAGCUCAGGUAUAUGGUGCUCUGGAGUCUGCAUGAAUUGCAUGAACAAACUCACCUGUUGAAAUAUUUGCAGUCUCCUCCUAAUUCCCCUUCUAUCCAAGCUUCUUUUUCAGUACUCAGGGCUAUGAAUGAACCCAAAACAAUUGGUUCUUUCCCAUAAUACUCUACAUUUAUGCUAUAGUCAUCAACAUUCUAUCAUACAUUUUCCAGAAGCACUAUCAUCCAAAUAAGUGCUUUUCUGCCAGGGAACUUGAUUCUACUGACUUGUCUCCAUUCCAUGUUUAUUAAUUCACAAUUGGGGAACAGGAGAAGCACUGAGAGUAAAUGGUGCAAGCCUUCAUCUAAUUAAACCAUCUCCUCUUAGGCUUCAUGUCCUACAUUUUCAACGGUAACUGAGUUAAGUAAGAAAUUAUUUGUUUUUGGUUAGAAACCUCAAGCCUCAAACAUGUACAAGCUAUCUUCAUUCAGUAGUUUUGUUUCACAUGUUGAAUUGUACCUUCUUUGUGCAGAAGUUUUGAAAUAACAUUUAAAAUAUGUUAACUUUAUAUGAUAGUGUAAAAUUAGAAAAUUUCUCUCCCUUUCGGUUAAACUUGGAAUAUACUGUUUGCCCUGAUAAAAGUAAGAAGUAAGGAUGGAAAAGGUAAAUUAUGUUUCUAAGAAUGAUAUAUAAUGAAAA